CACGUAGGGUGCGAGCGUUGUCCGGAUUUAUUGGGCGUAAAGAGCUCGUAGGCGGUGUGUCACGUCGAUCGUGAAAACUUGGGGCUUAACUCUGAGCGUGCGGUCGAUACGGGCAUCACUUGAGUUCGGCAGGGGAGACUGGAAUUCCUGGUGUAGCGGUGAAAUGCGCAGAUAUCAGGAGGAACACCGGUGGCGAAGGCGGGUCUCUGGGCCGAUACUGACGCUGAGGAGCGAAAGCAUGGGGAGCGAACAGG
rnacentral:rRNA from 1 species